CCUCAAAUCAAGUAGGACUACCCGCUGAAC
rnacentral:rRNA from 1 species